CUUCAGCCACGAUGUUCAGCCUCACCGCGGGUCCUGAGGAAUGAAACCUGCCGUCUAUGGACUGAGACCUCUGAAACCGAGAAGAUUCGACUUUCCCUGGGGCCACCAAGCUGCCAAGGAGGCUUUGAGAAGGACAACUUCUGGAACAGGACCCUCCCUGGAACCUAGGCUGAGAGAACCCCUGUCUUCCACACUAUUCUAGGUCUGGUUAAAAGUUAGGUGUGUCCAAGUGACUAGGCUCUCACCCGUGAGAGGUAAGCCAAAAGACCUCCCCUCUGCUCCUCCCCACUUCUGUCUGGUGAGAAUGCAGACGUGGCGGAAUCUGCAGGAAGAGUCACCCUCGAUGACAUGCUCAACUCCAUGCCGAGUGUGGCAGGGCAACUGGAAGGAACCUAUCCCUGAAAUCUCAGGAAAUGGCUUUCUUGAGCUUGACUAUUUGAUGGGAAGGAAACUUCGAUCUUAGAUUCUAAGACUCCUCUUUCAGUCUUCAUUUCAAGAACUGACCUCGUACCCUAACAGAGAGAGCCCAGGAGU